rnacentral:rRNA from 1 species
UCCACGCUGUAAACGAUGAUCACUCGUUGUUUGCGAUAUAUUGUAAGCGACUGAGCGAAAGCAUUAAGUGAUCCACCUGGGGAGUACGGUCGCAAGACUGAAACUCAAAGGAAUUGACGGGGGCCCGCACAAGCGGAGGAACAUGUGGUUUAAUUUGAUGAUACGCGAGGAACCUUACCUGGGUUUAAAUGUAGAUUGCAUGGGGGGGAAACUCUCCUUUCCUUCGGGACUAUUUACAAGGUGCUGCAUGGUUGUCGUCAGCUCGUGCCGUGAGAUGUCGGGUUAAGUCCCAUAACGAGCGCAACCCCUAUCGUUAGUUGCCAUCAGGUCAUGCUGGGGACUCUAACGAGACUGCCGGUGUAAACCGUGAGG